AUUGAACGCUGGCGGCAGGCUUAACACAUGCAAGUCGAGCGGGGUGAUGGUGCUUGCACUAUCACUUAGCGGCGGACGGGUGAGUAAUGCUUAGGAAUCUGCCUAUUAGUGGGGGACAACAUCUCGAAAGGGAUGCUAAUACCGCAUACGUCCUACGGGAGAAAGCAGGGGAUCACUUGUGACCUUGUGCUAAUAGAUGAGCCUAAGUCGGAUGAGCUAGUUGGUGGGGUAAAGGCCUACCAAGGGGACGAUCUGUAGCGGGUCUGAGAGGAUGAUCCGCCACACUGGGACUGAGACACGGCCCAGACUCCUACGGGAGGCAGCAGUGGGGAAUAUUGGACAAUGGGGGGAACCCUGAUCCAGCCAUGCCGCGUGUGUGAAGAAGGCCUUAUGGUUGUAAAGCACUUUAAGCGAGGAGGAGGCUUACCUAGUUAAUACCUGGGAUAAGUGGACGUUACUCGCAGAAUAAGCACCGGCUAACUCUGUGCCAGCCGCCGCAGUAA
rnacentral:rRNA from 1 species